GAGAGUCGGAUGAGGGGAGACCUUCACGUCUGGUUCGGAGGGCAAGAUAUCCCGACCCUAC
rfam:Amborella trichopoda AMTR_V1.0_contig_24998, whole genome shotgun sequence.